rnacentral:rRNA from 1 species
UUGAAGCACGUACGCCAGUAUGUGUGGAGCCGUCCUUGAAAUACCACCCUUGUAGUGUUGAUGUUCUAACGUUGACCCCUAAUCGGGGUUGCGGACAGUGCCUGGUGGGUAGUUUGACUGGGGCGGUCUCCUCCCAAAGAGUAACGGAGGAGCACGAAGGUGGGCUAAUCACGGUUGGACAUCGUGAGGUUAGUGCAAUGGCAUAAGCCCGCUUGACUGCGAGAAUGACAAUUCGAGCAGGUGCGAAAGCAGGUCAUAGUGAUCCGGUGGUUCUGAAUGGAAGGGCCAUCGCUCAACGGAUAAAAGGUACUCCGGGGAUAACAGGCUGAUACCGCCCAAGAGUUCAUAUCGACGGCGGUGUUUGGCACCUCGAUGUCGGCUCAUCACAUCCUGGGGCUGAAGUCGGUCCCAAGGGUAUGGCUGUUCGCCAUUUAAAGUGGUACGCGAGCUGGGUUUAGAACGUCGUGAGACAGUUCGGUCCCUAUCUGCCGUGGGCGUUGGAAGAUUGAAGGGGGCUGCUCCUAGUACGAGAGGACCGGAGUGGACGAACCUCUGGUGUUCGGGUUGUGUCGCCAGACGCAUUGCCCGGUAGCUAAGUUCGGAAUCGAUAACCGCUGAAAGCAUCUAAGCGGGAAGCGAGCCCUGAGAUGAGUCUUCCCUGAUACUUUAAGUAUCCUAAAGGGUUGUCGGAGACUACGACGUUGAUAGGUCAGGUGUGUAAGUGCUGUGAGGCAUUGAGCUAACUGAUACUAAUUGCCCGUGAGGCUUAACCAUACAACACCCAAGGGGUUU